rnacentral:rRNA from 1 species
GACGAACGCUGGCGGCGUGCUUAACACAUGCAAGUCGAACGGAAAGGCCCUGCGUUUGUGGCGUGCUCGAGUGGCGCACAGGUGAGUAUCACGCGUGUAACCUGUCCUUGUCUUCGGGGUACAUUCUGGAAACACGGGUUCAUAUCCGACAGAACAACUUGAUACAUAGUGGGUAUGUGUAAAUUUCGCCGUUUGGGGAUGCACAGGUGGUUCAUCGGUUUGUUGGUGGGGUAGUGGCUUACAAGGGCUUUGACGGGUGGCCGGACUGGGAGGGUGACCGGCCACAAAGGGCCUGGGAUACGGCCCAGACGCCAACGGGAGGCAGCAGUGGAGAAUAGUGCACGAAGGGCGGAAGGCGGAUGCAGCAACGCCGGGUCCGGGAUGACUGCUGGCGGGGUGGAACCCGCUUUCGACUGGGACGAAGCGUGAGUGACGGUAACGGGUAAAGAAGCAACGGCUAACUACGUG